rnacentral:rRNA from 1 species
UGAGAAUGUGCCUUCGGGAACCGUGAGACAGGUGCUGCAUGGCUGUCGUCAGCUCGUGUUGUGAAAUGUUGGGUUAAGUCCCGCAACGAGCGCAACCCUUAUCCUUUGUUGCCAGCGGUCCGGCCGGGAACUCAAAGGAGACUGCCAGUGAUAAACUGGAGGAAGGUGGGGAUGACGUCAAGUCAUCAUGGCCCUUACGACCAGGGCUACACACGUGCUACAAUGGCGCAUACAAAGAGAAGCGACCUCGCGAGAGCAAGCGGACCUCAUAAAGUGCGUCGUAGUCCGGAUUGGAGUCUGCAACUCGACUCCAUGAAGUCGGAAUCGCUAGUAAUCGUGGAUCAGAAUGCCACGGUGAAUACGUUCCCGGGCCUUGUACACACCGCCCGUCACACCAUGGGAGUGGGUUGCAAAAGAAGUAGGUAGCUUAACCUUCGGGAGGGCGCUUACCACUUUGUGAUUCAUGACUGGGGUGAAGUCGUAACAAGGUAACCGUAGGGGAACCUGCGGUUGGAUCACCUCCUU